CAACAAUUGAAUUUAUUUCUAGAAUUAAAAUUAAUUUUGACUAGGGUUCAUCUCUUUAAAACCAGCUUUCUUUUGUCUGCCAUGGCAGAAAAGUUUUGGCUCAUUCUAUUUUCUUAGCAAAAUUUGACUCUCAAAUCUUAUAAUCAGAAAUAUGUAUAGCUAUUCUAAGGAAUCAUCUGCAAACUCAAGCACUUUGACUCAAAAAUUCAAAUUCGUUUGCUAUUUACAAUAAAGAUGACAGAGGUAAAAAGGUUCUCUUUUUUGUUUCCUCCAAGUUUUCACCAUUUCGGCAACCAAAUCCCUGCUUCUCCUGUCCAUACCGUCCUUUUUCUUUCUUCUACACGUCAUUUCAAACAGUUCUUUAACCAUUUGAAACCCUAGCCCUUCAAGAAUCCCGCUCAAAUUAACCCUAGAAAAGCCCUAGUAAUUCUUCUAUAAAUACAUAGGUUUGGUAAUAAUUUAGGACAACUAUUGGAGUCAUCUUCAAACAAUUUUAUUCUUCAAAACACUCUAAAAUUCUUAGUUGUGUGGCCUCUGUUACUCCUUGCUAUAACAGAGGAAUUUUUGUUUGCACUUUUUUCGAAAAUUAUAAAGUUCGCGGUUGUAAGAUCGAGUUCCAGUCCGAAGCCAGAAUGUAUAGAUCUAUUCGACGCGCCCAAGUUCGCUGCAUCGCAAAAGCCAACUUCUGUAGAAGCUAUGAAGUUACAGCAAUAUGAGUUUUAAUGCAAGACUGGCCCCGCCCCAGCAUGGAAUCGUUACUAUUGAGCCUUGGACUAUGAUGGACAUCUAGAAGAAGAACAAGCGAAAAGCUUGGGGUCGCUUACGGCAGCCUUCGUUAUUUACAUUUACUCUGUUUCGAAUUUUUAAUCAAUUUGAUUAUAUUCUUUUGAUUAGUUUAGUUCUACACUUAACCUGGGUUUGUUAAUUUAAUUUUGAUUUCUUCACUUACUAUUCUCACUUAGUUAUUAGCAGAUAUUAACUAUUUUAUA